rnacentral:lncRNA from 1 species
GAGUGUUCCAAUUUCCAGGCUGGAAGUGUCAUCAGGUCAAAAGUUAAAAACAAAAAACUAGAUGUCACUGGAAUAUUUGGUAGUGUCUGCAAGCAUGACAUACCUAUUUAUUUUGCUGAUUUGGCCCAUGGAGAAAGGUAUUUUUCACUUGACCUCCAUGAAAUUUAAAAAAAAUAUUGGAGUACCCUUAGUGACUUUCUGUGACUAUGUUUCUUUUACUAAAGGUUGUAAGAUCAUUCAAACUUAUUCACUAUUGAAUAUGAGGCAGUUAUUUGCUUUCAAGAAAAUGUAGGUUGAGGUGAUCUACAUUUUGCUGCUGUGAAUUUUGUUGAAUUUUCCAUUCAAGUUCAUGUCAGGCAACAACAGGUUGCAAAAUUAUGUAAGCUUGCUCACACAAAGAAAUCACAUCUUUAUCAAGUCAAAAAAGUUCACUGCAUUUCUUUCAAUGAUUCAAUUCAAGUAGACAGCGGUUUUAACAAAUCAUUUAAGCUAUUUUAUACAUUUUUUAAAUUUUUAUCAUACAUGUCAUACUUGUACCUUGAUUCUUGAACUGUUUGUUUGUAAGAUCUAUCUGAUUAGUGUUAAAAAAAAAAAUAUGCAUUUAAAACUACAAUAAAUAAGAAACUAUGCAUUGUCAUGUUGAUCUUCCAUAUACUAUAUCAUAAAUGUGUUUUCAGGUUGAGUUAUCCAGUUUACAUUUUGAAAUGUGUAUUGGAGAAUAGACCUAAUGAUCAUCUGGUUGUCAUGUAUGAUAUUGCUUGCAUGUUACAUAAACAUUUACAGGUAACUAUAUUCUUAUUCAAUACCCUGAUUUAUCUUGAUGAACAUUUCAAUGAAAUACAAGAAUGUGCGAUUAUUGAACACCCACUAUGGAGACUUGGAAGUUUAUAAUACCUUAUCACCAUUUUUUAUGAGUAUAUGAUUCAUUCUGUUUGUGUCUGUCCAUAUGAAUGAUUUUUAAUGAAAGUUUGUCCAGUUGUAGUAAAACAACUGCAUAAAUGUAGAGAAAAAGUAUGAUUUAAAGCAAAUGUUUAUGCGUUUUUAACUUGAACCAUUCUGAUGAGUUUGAUUGAACUAAAACCAAGUGUUUUGAUUGACCUAAAUUUUAUAUACAUCGUAAUGAAAAGAUUAUCUAUUUAACACUUUGUAUUAUUAACAAAAAUUUUCUAUUUUCAGAAAACCAAUAACAAUGAUCUAUUAGAAAAGUGUUCUUUUGCUGUGCCAGUCUUUCAUAGUUUUGUGCACAAUACAGUAUGUCAG